CCUACGGGUGGCAGCAGUCGAGAAUCAUUCACAAUGGGGGAAACCCUGAUGGUGCGACGUCGCGUGGGGGAAUGAAGGUCUUCGGAUUGUAAACCUCUGUUAUGUGGGAGCAAAUUAAAAAGAUAGUACCACAAGAGGAAGAGACGGCUAACUCUGUGCCAGCAGCCGCGGGAAUACAGAGGACUCAAGCGUUGUUCGGAAUCACUGGGCGUAAAGUGUGCGUAGGCUGUUUCGUAAGUCGUGUGUGAAAGGCGCGGGCUCAACCCGCAGACGGCACAUGAUACUGCGAGACUAGAGUAAUGGAGGGGGAACCGGAAUUCUCGGUGUAGCAGUGAAAUGCGUAGAUAUCGAGAAGAACACUCGUGGCGAAGGCAGGUUCCUGGACAUUAACUGACGCUGAGGCACGAAGGCCAGGGGAGCGAAAGGGAUUAGAUACCCUUGUAGUC
rnacentral:rRNA from 1 species